UCAUCAGGUGGGAUAAUCCUCACCUGUUCCUCCUUUGGAGGACAGAUAAAACGUGAUGAUUGGAGAUGCAUGAAACGUGAUUAACGUCUCUGCGUAAUCAGGACUUGCAACACCCUGAUUGCUCCUAUCUGAU
rnacentral:snoRNA from 1 species